rnacentral:rRNA from 1 species
AUGGCUCAUUAUAACAGCUAUAAUUUACUUGAUCUUGACACAAUCCUACUUGGAUAACUGUGGUAAUUCUAGAGCUAAUACAUGCAUUAAAGCUCUGACCUCACGGGAAGAGUGCAUUUAUUAGAACAAAACCAAGCGGCUUCGGCUGUUUCUGGUUGACUCAUAGUAACUGAGCUGAUCGCAUGGUCUUGCACCGGCGACGUGUCUUUCAAGUAUCUGCCGUAUCAACUUUCGAUGGUAGUGUAUCUGACUACCAUGGUGAUCACGCGUAACGGAGAAUAAGGGUUCGGCUCCGGAGAGUUCGCCUGAGAAAUCGCGAACACAUCUAAGGAAGGCAGCAGGCGCGAAAAUUACCCACUCUCAGCACGAGGAGGUAGUGACGAAAAAUAACGAGACCGUUCUCUUAUGAGGCCGGUCAUCGGAAUGGGUACAAUUUAAACCCUUUAACGAGUAUCUAUGAGAGGGCAAGUCUGGUGCCAGCAGCCGCGGUAAUUCCAGCUCUCAAAGUGCAUAGAAUUAUUGCUGCGGUUAAAAAGCUCGUAGUUGGAUCUGUGCCAUAGGACGUGGUCCACCUUCGGGUGCGUACUACGCUCCUAGGCUUUUUGCUGGUUUUCCCGUCGUAGCCUUCACUGGUUGCGGCGGGUGGCUGGCGAGUUUACUUUGAGAAAAUCAGAGUGCUCAAUACAGGCGUAUCGCUUGAAUGAUUGUGCAUGGAAUAAUAGAAAAGGAUUUCGGUCCUCUUUUAUUGGUUUUGUGGACUGAGAUAAUGGUUAACAGGGACAAACGGGGGCAUUCGUAUCUCUGCGUGAGAGGUGAAAUUCUUGGACCGUAGAGAGACGCCCUACUGCGAAAGCAUUUGCCAA